rnacentral:rRNA from 1 species
CAGCAGCCGCGGUAAUACGUAGGUGGCAAGCGUUGUCCGGAAUUAUUGGGCGUAAAGGGCUCGCAGGCGGUUUCUUAAGUCUGAUGUGAAAGCCCCCGGCUCAACCGGGGAGGGUCAUUGGAAACUGGGAAACUUGAGUGCAGAAGAGGAGAGUGGAAUUCCACGUGUAGCGGUGUAAUGCGUAGAGAUGUGGAGGAACACCAGUGGCGAAGGCGACUCUCUGGUCUGUAACUGACGCUGAGGAGCGAAAGCGUGGGGAGCGAACAGGAUUAGAUACCCCUGUAGUCCCUGUCUCUUAUAU